UCACCUUGUUCUUAGCCAAGCUCUUCCUCAAGAUUCAUCCCCUUCUUUUUGUUCCUCAGAUCUGCACACAUAUGUUUAGAAAAACAAUAAAUCGAGGAGUGAAAACUGGGGAGGAAGAUAACUCUGGCCGCAGAUGGGCAACCUACACUGGGGACAUGUGACGACGGCCGGCAUCCCCUGGAACUCCGACCUCGCUGCUCCUUCCCUCAUGCCCAUCGCCCUCAUCCUCCCCUGCUCCACGCCCACUGCUUCAGCGAUGUGGGCCCGGUCUCUCCAGCCCCUCCACUGCCGUACGCUCCGCACCACCGCCACGAAAUCUCCUCCUCCGUGGAGAGCUCCCGCAG
rnacentral:lncRNA from 1 species